rnacentral:rRNA from 1 species
UACAGAGGGUGCGAGCGUUGUCCGGAAUCACUGGGCGUAAAGGGCGCGUAGGUGGCGCCGCAAGUCCAUGGUGAAAGCUCGAUGCUCAACAUCGAGUCGGCCACGGAGACUGCGGGGCUCGAGCACUGUAGGGGCAGAUGGAAUUCCGGGUGUAGCGGUGGAAUGCGUAGAGAUGUGGAGGAAUACCGAUGGCGAAGGCAGCCCCCUGGGAUAACACUGACGCUCAUGCACGAAAGCGUGGGGAGCAAACAGG